rnacentral:rRNA from 1 species
UUAGCUAGUUGGUAGGGUAAAGGCCUACCAAGGCGAUGAUCUAUAGCUGGUCUGAGAGGAUGAUCAGCCACACUGGAACUGAGAUACGGUCCAGACUCCUACGGGAGGCAGCAGUGGGGAAUAUUGGACAAUGGGCGCAAGCCUGAUCCAGCUAUGCCGCAUGAGUGAGGAAGGCCUUAGGGUUGUAAAACUCUUUCAGUAGGGAAGAUAAUGACGGUACCUACAGAAGAAGUCCCGGCAAACUCCGUGCCAGCAGCCGCGGUAAUACGGAGGGGGCAAGCGUUGUUCGGAAUUAUUGGGCGUAAAGGGCAUGUAGGCGGUUCGGUAAGUUAAAGGUGAAAUGCCAGGGCUUAACCCUGGAGCUGCUUUUAAUACUGCCAGACUAGAGUCCGGGAGAGGAUAGCGGAAUUCCUAGUGUAGAGGUGAAAUUCGUAGAUAUUAGGAGGAACACCAGUGGCGAAGGCGGCUAUCUGGUCCGGUACUGACGCUGAGGUGCGAAAGC